AUGGAGGAAAGACAUCAAACGGAGAUACACAUUAACCAGAGUACCUAUGACACAGGAAAUCAACGGGAAGAUACUAACAGAUAUUCAAGUUUGUUGAAUAUUUGUUAUCGGAUGAUUACUCAUGCAGCUGGUUCAAAAGAGCAUACUGAAGAUGCAACUAAGAAGUUAUAUGCAAUGAUUGAUUUAUAUCAUAGCAACUAAGAACCCCUUCAAUGACCCAAACGGAUUCCAAUGUUGGUUUAACGACAAAGGACACAACUACAGUUGGUAGUUCGCAGCAAGUACUUAGUCCACGAGUUGUGCACGGAAAAGGCAGACCCCCAUCUCUAAGGAGAGCAUCCAAGAUGGAGCAAGAAAUGCGGAAAGUUAAAGCAAGGACGAAGAAAGCAAAUGUAAAGGGAAAACGUAAAGAGGUUCGAUAUCUUUAAUAACAAGAAUAUUUGCCACAUAUAUGUUUAUUUGGGUUGAUUUAUUUAUGCAAAUAUUGUGCUGAUAUAGAGUUUUUACUUAUUACUUGAUUAUUAGCGAGAUGGAGGAGAUACGCUAGCCCAAAACACGUGUAGGAAUUUAUUUGGCCCAUCCAAGAUAGAUCUUGCUGCUGAAGGAAACGUGCAGACUGUUCCAGUCAGCUCAGCUUUUGAUAUUAGUGGAUUCCAAAAUAUGGUUGGGAGUCAAGAAAGUAUGCAACUUGGAGUCAAUGGAUCACAAGCUUUGCCCAAAUGAUAUG